rnacentral:rRNA from 1 species
AUACGAAGGGUGCAAGCGUUGUUCGGAAUCACUGGGCGUAAAGAAUGCGUAGGCGGCUAGACAAGUCAGGAGUGAAAUCCCAGGGCUCAACCCUGGAACUGCUCUUGAAACUGUCUUGCUAGAGUCCCGGAGGGGUUAGCGGAAUUCCGAGUGUAGAGGUGAAAUUCGCAGAUAUUCGGAGGAACACCAGUGGCGAAGGCGGCUAACUGGACGGGAACUGACGCUGAGGCAUGAAAGUGUGGGGAUCAAACAGGAUUAGAUACCCUGGUAGUCCACACCGUAAACGAUGUGUGCUAGUUGUCGGGCAGCUUUGCUGUUCGGUGACGGAGCUAACGUUUUAAGCACACCGCCUGGGGAGUACGGCCGCAAGGUUAAA